GAGAGCUGGUCUUGGGGCCCCUUCCAGAGGGUUCCAAGUCCCCGUUGGCCUGAACACUGCUCGUUUGUUUGUUUCCUCCAAUGGAGGGGUGACUCUGGCUCAAGGACUCCAGCCAGGCGGGCCUUCCAGGACCCCGGAUGUGUGCUUUGUUGGCAGUGUUCCCGCUGAGCUAUCGGAGGGGCUCCGGGAGAACUGGCAUCCUUUGCUCUGCCAGAAAGGAGGGCACGCCCACGGGAGCGUCUAGCAGUGUGAAGCUGAGGGGUACAACCCACCGCAGCGUGUUAACCUCACUCCACAUUAGCCCAGUUAAGACACGGAGAGUGGCCGGCGUAUGCAAACCACGCGGCAGACUUUUUGCUUGUCAAGUUCAUCUGACAGUUCGGUCUCUGAUCCAGUUCCCAGCAACCCCCGCGUGUCCAAACUCCAUCCAGGCGCAUCGGAAAGAGAAAGAAACUGUUUCAGGACAAGGACUAAGACGUUCAGGACGCAUCUAGUUAAAACGAUUCUAUUUCACAAGGAUUCUUUGGGGAAUGUUAUGACUGGUCACUCCCCGGCCGUAUACACCUUUGCCAUGUAAUUCUUUAAAAAAUAAAUUCUUUGCCCUAACUGGUUUGGCUCAGUGGAUAGAGCGUC